rnacentral:rRNA from 1 species
UACGUAGGGGGCAAGCGUUGUCCGGAUUCAUUGGGCGUAAAGAGCGUGUAGGCGGCCAGGUAGGUCGGUUGUGAAAACUGGAGGCUCAACCUUCAGAGGUCGACCGAAACCAUCUGGCUAGAGUCCGGGAGAGGAGAGUGGAAUUCCUGGUGUAGCGGUGAAAUGCGCAGAUAUCAGGAAGAACACCGGUGGCGAAAGCGGCUCUCUGGAACGGUACUGACGCUGAGACGCGAAAGCGUGGGGAGCGAACAGG